UACAGGGGUCCCAAGCGUUGUUCGGAUUCACUGGGCGUAAAGGGUGCGUAGGUGGCGAGGUAAGUUUGAUGUGAAAUCUCCGGGCUUAACCCGGAAACGGCAUUGAAUACUAUCUGGCUCGAGGGUUGGAGGGGGGACUGGAAUUCUCGGUGUAGCAGUGAAAUGCGUAGAUAUCGAGAGGAACACCGGUGGCGAAGGCGAGUCCCUGGACAACACCUGACACUGAGGCACGAAAGCUAGGGGAGCAAACAGG
rnacentral:rRNA from 1 species